rnacentral:rRNA from 1 species
UACGAAGGCGGCAAGCGUUGUUCGGAUUUACUGGGCGUAAAGCGUGCGCAGGCGGUUCGCUGUGUCCGAUGUGAAAGCCCCGGGCUUAACCUGGGAAUGGCAUUGGAAACUGGCGGGCUUGAGUGCGGCAGAGGGGGGUGGAAUUCCGCGUGUAGCAGUGAAAUGCGUAGAGAUGCGGAGGAACACCGAUGGCGAAGGCAGCCCCCUGGGUCGACACUGACGCUCAGGCACGAAAGCGUGGGGAGCAAACAGG